rnacentral:rRNA from 1 species
GGAUUAGAUACCCUGGUAGUCCACGCCCUAAACGAUGUCAACUAGGUGUUGGGUGGGUAAAACCAUUUAGUACCGGAGCUAACGCGUGAAGUUGACCGCCUGGGGAGUACGGCCGCAAGGUUAAAACUCAAAGGAAUUGACGGGGACCCGCACAAGCGGUGGAUGAUGUGGAUUAAUUCGAUGCAACGCGAAAAACCUUACCUACCCUUGACAUGUCCAGAAGCCCGAAGAGAUUUGGGUGUGCCCGAAAGGGAGCUGGAACACAGGUGCUGCAUGGCUGUCGUCAGCUCGUGCCG